rnacentral:rRNA from 1 species
CCCUUAGAUGUUCUGGGCCGCACGCGCGCUACACUGAUGCAUUCAACGAGUCUAAAACCUGCUCUGAUAGGGGUGGGUAAUCUUUUGAAUGUGCAUUGUGAUUGGGAUAGAUGAUUGCAAUUUUUCAUCUUCAACGAGGAAUGCCUAGUAAACGCAAGUCAUCAGCUUGCAUUGAUUACGUCCCUGCCCUUUGUACACACCGCCCGUCGCUCCUACCGAUUGAAUGAUCCGAUGAAUAUCAUGGAUUGAGGAUGCAAGCAGGUUCGCCUGUCUUCAUCUUCGAGAAGUGAAGUAAAUCUUAUCAUUUAGAGGAAGGAGAAGUCGUAACA